UGGCCAGUACAGGAUCUAGGACAGAAGGGCUUCCAUUUGAGACCACCUAAAAUUAGCCAAGAUGCCCCUACUUCCUUUGGGAAUCCUUCUGUAACUCAUUUGUUUGGAUGCACUUCCUAGUCAUUCUUCUUGAAAAUGCACCAGGCUCCCCUGUGUUCGAAGAACACAUGAAAGAGAAUUCUAGCGAU